AGGAAGGCCUAGGGAGUCAGGUAAAAAACGGAAAAGAAAAAGGUUAAAACCCACCUAAAGCAGCCAACCAGAUGUGAGGUGAGGAUGAGCCGCAGCCCUUUCCUGGGACAUGGAUGUACAUGGCGUGUUACAUUCCUGAACCUACUAUGUACGGUGCUUUAUUGCCAGUGUGCGGUCUUUGUUCUCCUCCGUGAAAAACUGUGUCCGAGAACACUCGGGAGAACAAAGAGACAGUGCACAUUUGUUUAAUGUGACAUCAAAGCAAGUAUUGUAGCACUCGGUGAAGCAGUAAGAAGCUUCCUUGUCAAAGAGAGAGAGAGAGAGAGAGAGAGAAAACAAAACCACAAAUGACAAAAACAAAACGGACUCACAAAAAUAUCUAAACUCGAUGAGAUGGAGGGUCGCCCCGUGGGAUGGAAGUGCAGAGGUCUCAGCAGACUGGAUUUCUGUCCGGGUGGUCACAGGUGCUUUUUUGCCGAGGAUGCAGAGCCUGCUUUGGGAACGACUCCAGAGGGGUGCUGGUGGGCUCUGCAGGGGCCCGCGGGAAGCAGGAAUGUCUUGGAAACCGCCACGCGAACUUUAGAAACCACACCUCCUCGCUGUAGUAUUUAAGCCCAUACAGAAACCUUCCUGAGAGCCUUAAGUGGUUUUUGUUUUGUUUUUUUGUUUUUGUUUUUGUUUUGUUUUUUU
rnacentral:lncRNA from 1 species